GCAUUUGCCUAUCUGUUCACAGUUUUAGAGUGCAUAAGGUGCGCCCUCGCAGGGAUGUAUGCAGACAUUCCAUUUGUCUGUGAUGCAGCUUAUAUUCAAAUACCUUAUGAUUAAUGGCUGCCAACAUAUGUUUCUUAUUCCUUUUAGAAAGAACUUUGAGUGCUAGCACUUGCUGACCUUACUGGUUUCAUGCCUCUCCCAAGAAUCAAAGUGCUAGCAAGCAUUUUAGAAAGAACAUUGAGGCUGGUUGGAACUGAAAAUGAUCACUCUCUUUUGGAUUGCCUCAAGGCCUGUAAAACUUAAAUCUUUUUUUUUUCUAUCAUUCCUAGCAUUAUUUUCCUUUUAGCACCUUCUACAUUACUCUUUCUUGCCUGCUCUGUGCUGUCUCCACUCUUUCUUGCCUGCUCUGGGCGAGUUUUAUAAAUUGGUUUUCAUAUGAUAACCGACCUGCCCAUUUACUGACUAGGAAUAACUUUGUAAGCAAUUUUGGGCCCGAUCCAUGUUUGUGAAGCAAACAAAUCAUAUUGGCCGGGAAAUUCAAAGUUUGAAUCAAACAAGUAAAUCAUCUAAGACUUUCCAAGGAUUAGCCACUGAACCACUAGUUGUUUUACGCUAUGGGUUCGGGAUAUACAACAAUAAAAAGACGUAAAAAUGGCAUGUGGUAAUCAUUAGUGAAGGUGACAUUUAUUUUUUAUCUAGCAAUUUUAAUGUUGAG
rnacentral:lncRNA from 1 species